rnacentral:rRNA from 1 species
CGAACGGGUGAGUAACGCGUGAGGAACCUGCCUCAAAGAGGGGGACAACAGUUGGAACGACUGCUAAUACCGCAUAAGCCCACGGCUCGGCAUCGAGCAGAGGGAAAAGGAGCAAUCCGCUUUGAGAUGGCCUCGCGUCCGAUUAGCUAGUUGGUGAGGUAACGGCCCACCAAGGCGACGAUCGGUAGCCGGACUGGGAGGUUGAACGGCCACAUUGGGACUGAGACACGGCCCAG